GACGAACGCUGGCGGCGUGCCUAAUACAUGCAAGUCGAGCGGAUGACGAGAAGCUUGCUUCUCUGAUUUAGCGGCGGACGGGUGAGUAACACGUGGGCAACCUGCCCUACAGAUCGGGAUAACUCAGGGAAACCUGGGCUAAUACCGGAUAAUCCUUCGAAUCACAUGCUUUGAAGUUGAAAGGCGCUUCGGCGUCACUGUAGGAUGGGCCCGCGGUGCAUUAGCUAGUUGGUGGGGUAACGGCCUACCAAGGCAACGAUGCAUAGCCGACCUGAGAGGGUGAUCGGCCACAUUGGGACUGAGACACGGCCCAAACUCCUACGGGAGGCAGCAGUAGGGAAUCUUCCACAAUGGACGAAAGUCUGAUGGAGCAACGCCGCGUGAGUGAUGAAGGUUUUCGGAUCGUAAAACUCUGUUGUAAGGGAAGAACAAGUACGUUAGGAAAUGAACGUACCUUGACGGUACCUUAUUGGAAAGCCACGGCUAACUACGUGCCAGCCGCCGCGGUAA
rnacentral:rRNA from 1 species